UCCAGACUCCUACGGGAGGCAGCAGUGGGGAAUCUUCCGCAAUGGGCGAAAGCCUGACGGAGCAACGCCGCGUGAUCGAAUGAAGGCCUUCGGGUUGUAAAGAUCUGUUGACAGGGACGAAUAAGCAAUGCGAAUAGUUUUGUGUAUGACAGUACCUGUUUAGAAAGCUCCGGCUAACUACGUGCCAGCAGCCGCGGUAAUACGUAUGGUGCAAGCGUUAUCCGGAUUUACUGGGCGUAAAGGGAGCGCAGGCGGCGCGCCAAGUCUGAUGUGAAACCCCGGGGCUCAACCCCGGGCAUGCAUUGGAAACUGGCGGGCUGGAGUGCCGGAGAGGUAAGCGGAAUUCCUAGUGUAGCGGUGAAAUGCGUAGAUAUUAGGAGGAACACCAGUGGCGAAGGCGGCUUACUGGACGGCAACUGACGCUGAGGCUCGAAAGCGUGGGGAGCAAACAGGAUUAGAUACCCGGGUA
rnacentral:rRNA from 1 species